GCCCAGCUGGCUCAGUCGGAGCAUGAGACUCUUGAUCUCAAAGUUGUGAGUUUGAGCCCCACGUUGGGUG
rnacentral:tRNA from 1 species